rnacentral:ribozyme from 1 species
UGCCCAGCAUCUCCUAUCCCUACCUCCUCGUGGUACUGGCCGGGGUACGAGUAACCUUGGGGAAGAUCGGGUAACCAACCCCCGGUGGGAACUUUGGUCGUAUGCUGACAGGGAAGG